UUCUCGGUAAAAAUCUAACCAAUUAACUGCAUACUCUUUAAUUCAUUUAAAAUUAACAACAUCUAAAUGUUUAUGUUAUUAUUAUUUAGUGUCUUUCAACAUUUACGCACAAAUAAUGCAAAAACUAAGGAAGUUGCGUGGAGAACAGUUAAGAGUCCUCGUCAACCAUUACAAUCAGUACAAUGUGGGUUCUAUGUUAUGAGGAUGAUGAAGGACUUCGUGACAAAUGAGUUUUCAAUGCGAUGGCUAACUAGUAAUUGUGGCGGGAAGAACUAUUACACAAAGGAUGAUAUCAAUGAAGUACGUGAAGAAUGGGCACAAUGCGUCAUGGAUUUGAUGAGUACUAUAUAGGUCCACUCACUUUUGUUAACUUAGACUUUUAAUGAGAUAUACUUACAAUGUUAACUUAGACUUUCUUGAAGAUAUACACACUUUUGUUGCCUAACUAUAGUUUACAAUGCUUAUGUGAGUCAUUUUGUAAUUAACUUAAGACUCGUUAUUUUAGAUACUUAGUUCAAA